UACGUAGGGAGCAAGCGUUGUCCGGAAUCAUUGGGCGUAAAGCGCGCGUAGGCGGCCCCGUAAGUCCGCUGUGAAAGUCAAAGGCUCAACCUUUGAAAGCCGGUGGAUACUGUGGGGCUAGAGUCCGGAAGAGGCGAGUGGAAUUCCUGGUGUAGCGGUGGAAUGCGCAGAUAUCAGGAGGAACACCCGUGGCGAAGGCGGCUCUCUGGGACGGUACUGACGCUGAGACGCGAAAGCGUGGGGAGCGAACAGG
rnacentral:rRNA from 1 species